UCAGGCACUGAGCUUUCUAAGUACUAUGAGCUGCUGUUCACCUUUGAUGGGGGCACUGGACUGGCAUCAGCUGGAUAGCACCCAGACCUGGAGAGGGCAUGUCCCCACCUGACCACACUGAGUGCCCCACCCUGAUGCCCAGGGGGUGGGAGAGGCAGUGACUGUGCAAGGGGGUGAGGAUUACAGGACCUGGUUCCUGUGGGGAGCUCCCCAGGGCCUGGUGCACAAGAAGGAGCUGGAGGGCUGCAGCCUUCCAGACCCCUCCUCUCUCCUGGCCACAGUGCCUUCCGGAAGCCGCGACUGCUCACCGAGACCUGGCCUGCUCCGUGGCGACGUUCAGCCCUGCUGUCUCCUUCCAGGUGCCGGUGGACGAGCCGUGGAUCACAAAACCAUGGACUGGGUAGGCUGCUGGCAGAUACCAAGUAUACCUGAGGCCCUUACUUCAUUCCCUGGUGACGAACUGAGAAGGAAGAAACUCUUCUCUGAAACUUGGAGGACCCCUGACUAAUAACCAAAAUACAUAAAGAGCUUGCCAAACUCAACAACAAGAAAACAAAUGACCCCAUCCAAAAAUGGGGAGAGGACAUGGACAGAAUAUUCACCACAGAAGAGAUCCAAAAGACUGAGAAACAUAUGGAAAAAUGCUCCAAGUCAUUGAUUGUCAGAGAAAUGCAAAUAAAGACAAUGAGAUACCACUUCACUCCUGUGAGAAUGUCAUACACCCAAAAGAUAGCAGCAACAAAUGCUGGAGAGGUUGUGGGGUCAAAGGAACCCUUCUGCACUGCUGGUGGGAAUGUAAAUUGGUCCAACCCCUGUGGAGAGUCUGGAGAACUCUCAGAAGAUUAGAAAUAAAACUUACCCUAUGACCCUGCAAUCCCUCUCCUGGGGAUAUAUCCUAAGGAACCCAACACACCCAUCCAAAAAAGAUUUUUUUAAAAAUAUGCCUAUGUUCAUAGUAGCACAAUUUGGAAUAGCCAAAAUCUGGAAGCAACCCAGGUGCCCAACAACAGAUGAGUGGCUGAGCAAGUUGUGGUAUAUAUAUAUACACAAUGGAAUACUACUCAGCUAUAAAAAAUAGUGAUUUCACCAUUUUCAGCCCAUCUUGGAUGGGGCUUGAAGAAAUCAUGUCGAGUGAAAUAAGUCAGAAGCAGAAGGAUGAAUAUGGGAUGAUCUCACUCAGGCAGAAGUUGAAAAACAAGAUCAGAAGGGAAAACACAAGUAGAACCUGAACUGGAAUUGGCGUAUUGCACCAGAGUAAAAGACUCUGUGGUGGGUGGGGAGAGAAUACAGGUCCAAGAAGGAUGACAGAGGUCCUAGUGGGGGUUGUAUUGUUAUAUGGAAAACUGGGAAAUGUUAUGCAUG